rnacentral:lncRNA from 1 species
GUUCAGUAAAGUCACUCUAUAACUUCAAGAUGUAAACACAUUGUUUACUAUUAUGAAGAUAUAUAGGAUAAAAUUUCAGGAAUUGCGAGUAAUCUAGCCAGAAAUCAUACAACUCUGACUUUUAAAAUAAGUCCAAGGAUACAGAGAUAGCCUUUUGAGAAAAGUAGUAGGCACUAUCUAUUGAUUGCAGAGCAUAUAAAAAGGUCACUACACCAAAAAACAAUGGAGAUAUUUUAAAAUCCCAUUUUUCAGACAACAUAUAAAGU